GUGAAAGUUAAAUAUUAAAAAAAUAUAUAUUUCGAAUUUCGCGCCCUGCACUUGAGCUGGAUGUUGUCAUAAGUGUACCGGUGUCGGGCUGCACCCCAAACAGGUUAAGAAAGGCAUUGAUGUUUAUGGUUAGGUACACAUUGGUGCAACGACAGUGCUUUUUUCACAAAUGCACUUGUUAAAUCACCUGUUUGGCAAAGUAGGCUAUGAUUCAAUGAUAAAUUAACAGGCACCGCAUCGAUUAUAUGCAACGUAGGACAAGCUAGAUAAACUAGUAAUAUCAUCAACCAUGUGUAGGCAAACAGUGAUUAUGUUAAGAUUGAUUGUUUUUUAUAAGUUUAAUGCUAGCUAGCACCUUGUCUCCUUGCUGCACUCGCAUAACAGGUAGUCAGCCUGCCACGCAGUCUCCUCGUGGAGUGCAAUGUAAUCGGCCAUGAUCGGUGUCCAAAAAUGCCGAUUGUUAUGAAAACUUGAAAUCGGUCGACCUCUAAUCCAUAGCUCUACGAAUUUGAGAGUGGGUAAAUUUCUCCAGAUCUAUCCCUCAGCUUUUUACCGAAACGGGGCGAGGAAUAUACUUCAUGUUUCUACUGCCGAUUGCCUCUUUCAAAGUGCAAUUUAGGGAGAUUGGCUAAUCUGUGUGUGUGUGUGUGUAAAACUGCUACUUUAUGUUUCAGAACAUGUACAUAACUUGUGGUUACGGGAACCCCUUCCAACUUACAUCCUGCAUGAACUUGCGGCAGACAGGGCGGAUCUCUUUGCUUAGGGUGGCACUGAACAUCAUGCACUGCUUCUCAUGGGGUGUGAGCCUGAAGAUGUCCUGAACAUCACGCCUCAUGUCUGAGGGAGAGACGAUAGGAAAAUAAUAUGUCAGUCACAAAAAUGUCAACCCACUCAGUCUGAAAUCCAAGUACUACAUAAAAUAACAUUUAAAUACACUUUACUACGUUUUGGCUAAAUCCUUACUUAAGUCAGACCAUCUAUCACAAUCUGUUCCAAGAUCCAAUACUACUUAGUAUGAAAGUGUAUUAGAAGUGCAUUCUAGGGGCCUCCCGGGUGGCGCAGUGGUCUAGAGCACUGCAUCGCAGUGCUAGCUGCGCCACCAGUCUCUGGGUUCGCGCCCAGGCUCUGUCGCAGCCGGCCGCGACCGGGAGGUCCGUGGGGCGACGCACAAUUGGGCUAGCGUCGUCCAGGUUAGGGAGGGUUUGGCCGGUAGGGAUAUCCUUGUCUCAUCGCGCUCCAGCGACUCCUGUGGCGGGCCGGGCGCAGUGGCGCUAACCAAGGGGGCCAGGUGCACAGUGUUUCCUCCGACACAUUGGUGUGGCUGGCUUCCGGGUUGGAGGCGCGCUGUGUUAAGAAGCAGUGCGGCUUGGUUGGGUUGUGCUUCGGAGGACGCGUGGCUUUCGACCUUCGUCUCUCCCGAGCCCGUACCGGAGUUGUAGCGAUGAGACAAGAUAGUAAUUACUAGCGAUUGGAUACGACGAAAAUUGGGGAGAAAAGGGGAUAAAAUGUAUUAAAAAAAUAUAUAUAUAAAAAAGUGCAUUCUAAGUUGUAUGCUAGUAGGUACAUUGAACAGGUUUUCAAUUAACCGUUCAUCUUUGAAGUUUCAACUUACUCCCGUCACCCCCCCCCCCCCCCCCCCCCCCUUGGUUUGUGCUGUGGUGGAGACCUUUGUGGGCUAUACUCGGCCUUGUCUCAGGAUUGUAAAUUGGUGUUUGAAGAUAUCCCUCUAGUGGUGCGGGGGCUGUGCUUUGGCAAAGUGGCUGGGGUUAUAUCCUUCCUGUUUGGCCCUGUCCGGGGGUUUCUUCGGAUGGGGCCACAGUGUCUCCUGAUCGCUCCUGUCUCAGCCUCCAGUAUUUAUGCUGCAGUAGUUUGUGUCGGGGGGCUAGGGUCAGUUGGUUAUGCCUGGAGUACUUCUCCUGUCUUAUCCAGCGUCCUGUGUGAAUUUAAGUAUGCUCUCUCUAAUUCUCUCGUUCUCUCUUUCUUUCUCUCUCUCUGAGAACCUGAGCCCUAGGACCAUACGUCAGGACUACCGGGCAUGAUGACUCCUUGCUGUCCCCAGUCCGCCUGGCCUUGCUGCUAUUCCAGUUUCAACUGUUCUGCCUGAGGUUGCGGAACCCCUACCUGUCCCAGACCUGCUGUUUUCAACUCUUAAUGAUCGGCUAUGAAAAGCCAACUGAGAUUUAUUCCUGAUUAUUAUUUGACCAUGCUUGUCAUUUAUGAACAUUUUGAAAAUCUUGGCUCUCUCUAAUUUUCUCCUUCUCUCUUUCUUUCUCUCGGAGGACCUGAGCCCUAGGACCAUACGUCGGGACUACCGGCCGUGGUGACUCCUUGCUGUCCCCAGUCCGCCUGGCCUUGCUGCUAUUCCAGUUUCAACUAUUCUGCCUGCGGUUAUGGAACCGCCACCUGUCCCAGACCUGUUGUUUUUCAACUCUUAAUGAUCGGCUAUGAAAAGCCAACUGAAAAUUAUUCAUGAUUAUUAUUUGACCAUGCUUGUCACUUAUGAACAUUUUUGAACAUCUUGGCAUAGUUCUGUUAUAAUCUCCACCCGGCACAGCCAGAAGAGGACUGGCCACCCCUCAUAGCCUGGUUCCUCUCUAGGUUUCUUCCUAGGUUUUGGCCUUUCUAGGGAGUUUUUCCUAGCCACCGUGCUUCUACACCUGCAUUACUAGCUGUUUGGGGUUUUAGGCUGGGUUUCUGUACAGCACUUCGAGAUAUUAGCUGAUGUACGAAGGGCUAUAUAAAAUAAACUUGAUUGAUUGAUUGACUAUCACUGCUAGCUAGGUUCACAGGGGCAGUACUCAAGUCCGGAAGCACUGUGCUCGUGUCGUCGUGGCCACUAUUGGUUAAUUUAAAAGGCAAUCUCCCCAAACCGGUCUGAAAACGAACCAAGCCUAUUCAAAUGCCGAUCUUGAAAAUGACAGCAAAUAAGGUGGGAUUUCACCAGCUACCCUUAACUUAAUUGUGGGCAUCAUUUCUUGUUUGACAACACUGUUAUGAAAAAAGUACACCGAGAUAGCCUUAUUCAGCAAUAAUGUAAACAUUUCUGAUUGCUGUAAAUUAUAGCUACGUAUGACUAGGUUUCCUAACCCAGGAAUGAUUUCUGAAUUUAGAUUCGAAUCGAUUAGAUUAAUUUAUUAGUCACAUACAUAGGGUCGCAGAUGUAAUUGCAGGGUACAGUGAAAUUCUUAAGAUCUGAACUCCAACAGUGCAGGUCAAAAAGAUAAGUGAAUGAAACAAUAUUAAUAUGAAUAAUUAUAUACACCAUAUAUACAUAUUUAUUUACAACAUUUACAAACCAACAGCCUGCAUUCAUCCAGUUUGUAUAAAUUAUGAUAGAAGUGUGAAAUGACUGUAAUGAGUAUCUUGGACUAAUAGGCAGUUGGCUUAAACCAUUUAUUCAUAAUUGGCAAUAUGUGGGCCUGCCUUGAUCCAAUCAGCUUACCACAUCUGUCUUCCCUCACCAAACCCAUCAAUGAUUUGAUUUAUUUGACCAUAAUUUGGUUGGUCCAUUUUAUUGACACUAAAUAGAUGUUAUUUUAACCGUAGCUGUUAAAAGUCCAACAGUGGGAGUGUGCAGACUGAUGAUGGCGCGACUUUAAUUCCUGACUAUUUCAGUUAUGGCCAACAGAGGGCAACAUUUAUCCAUAAAAUACGAUUAAACCUCACUGAACCAAAGUGAAUUAGGUUACAUUGUAAACUUUAUAGAGAUUUCGUAUGUGAUUAGAAACAAUGCCUUAAUUUCCCAGAGUGGUCGCUCUGUGCUAUUGUAGUUGACGUAAUCAUGUACAAUGGCAUGACGUAAUAUAUGAGCCUAUGACGUAAACGCACUCGAGGGAAGGUUCAGUGCCUACUUCUGGCUCAGUUGAGUUGAUGAUUUGCAAAGGACAGUCAUCCUCAUGUUCAAAUAAAUCACUUUGAGUGGACAAAGACGACAUUCUGUGAGUACAGCAAAACGGGCCAAGAUUUUGUAAUUAAAAAAAAAAAAAAAGUAUUUUAAAAUGUAUUUGUUUAUAAAAAGAAAUGUCAGGUCCAAUCUGAAGGGUGCCUGAAAACACAAUGGAUAGAAAUCAUAAACGGUUGAGAAAAAUUCUUCAAAAGGCUGGGACCCUCCAAGCUAGUGCUGGAGAGCAGGUGCUCCAGACAGACGUCCAUUCCGCUGGCCAUGAUGGACUAAGGCUGCCAGCCCUGGGAGACUGCCCCAAGGACCGCCCCCUAAAGGCUGGGACCCUCCAAGCUAGUUUUGGAGAGCAGGUGCUCCAGACAGACAUCCAUUCCGCUGGCCAUGAUGGACUAAGGCUGCCAGCCCUGGGAGACUGCCCCAAGGACCGCCCCCUAAAGGCUGGGACCUUCCAAGCUAGUGCUGGAGAGCAGGUGCUCCAGACAGACGUCCAUUCCGCUGGCCAUGAUGGACUAAGGCUGCCAGCCCUGUUAGACUGCCUCAAGGACAGCCCCCUAAAGGCUGGGACCCUCCAAGCUAGUUUUGGAGAGCAGGUGCUCCAGACAGACGUCCAUUCUGCUGGCCAUGAUGGACUAAGGCUGCCAGCCCUGGGAGACUGCCCCAAGGACAGCCCUCUAAAGAACCUUGUGCCGAAGCCCCCACAAGGCCCCAGGCCCAGCCGAGAGGCUAUCAAGGCUAGAAGGGCUAGGGAGGCUAAGUCAGGGGUGGUAAACCUAAGCCGCCAAGUAGUUGGUGUGUUGGCACUGCCUCAAACGCUUCUAUCUCAAACAACCAGUAGCAGUGUCCUGCCAGCUAUCAAGAAGGGCACUAAAGUUACUAAAAUGGAGACAACAGAAACCCCAGGUCCCCUGACACCUAAUGAUGGGGAGAUAAUGAUCUCCUUUCCAUCUGUUGAUGACCUCCUGACCCCAAAGAGUGAUGUCACGUCCGAGGCUAAGAGCGAUGAUGCCUCCUGUCCAAUUUCACCUGAGGCGUUCUCUCUAACAAACUUCCUGAAGUCUCACCCUCAGAGAAAGCUUAUCAGGAAGUUCCUCAAACAAAUGAACGUGACAAUAGGCGACCUGGACGAAGUCAUCGAGUGGGUGGUGUGUGUCUCCAGUGAGGUGUUCCUCCCAGUGAUGGCUCUGCACAGGACCUCCAGACCAGAGUCGUCAGACUCAUUCCGCUGGGGGUCAGGUGUGCUCCAGAUCAUCUCUGAAAAGUUCCACCAGCGGAGUUCUGAGCCGAAGGGAAGGCUCCUGGGCGGGCAGCCGCCCACUCCCCCUUCUGAGACCGACAAGGAGCUUCAGGGCAUAGCAGAUCUGUCUGUGAGUAACAUCCUGAAAAGGGCCCAGGAGGACCUCUUCUCUUCUGGUGAGGAUGACCUGGAGAACACCCAUCCAGGCAUCACUCUGACCGAAGAGAAGCUCUCCAGCAUCUUCUCAGAGCUGUUCAGGGGCGCAUGUGAGAGUGCCCAGGAGGCCGCCGGACGCAUCUACCACAUUAGGUCUGGAAGAGGCAACAACAGCCGAAAUGGGAGACGCCCUGGGUCACCAACAGAGUUGGGAGAACUGGGGUCAGUGAGGAGUCCCAAGGGAAGUGACGUCCAUAAAGUCCUUAGCGAGGGGUCCCUCCCUGUCUUUGCCCUGUUUGGGGAGAGGCCAGGGGAAGUUGGGGAGACCAGCAGCCCUGCUGGGGAGAUGGACGAGACCCAGACUGCCAGCACUCCCAGCAUUCCCCGGUCUGGGCAUGGCGGCAGAAGUUGUAGCCAGACCACCAUUCCCACCACCGGCCACAGAGAGGCAGGAGUCACAGCCAGUAACAUCUUUGAUGUUAUUGUUCAUCUGGCGCACUCCGACACUGACCGGGAACUCCACCAGGAGUUCAGCAGUGAGGAUGAUGUUUCACUGAAUGACAUCAUGGACAUUAAGGCAGUGGAGCCCCUGGGGCAGAUCCUGUCCUCAUGGAGGCUGGUCAACAGGAUCUUCAGGGGGAAGGUCCACUACUUUGGGAAGGAGCUCAUCUGCAAGGUGUAUCAGAUGCUUCUAGACAGCGGUAUGGGCAGGAGGCCAAUGGCCCGCCAGAGCAGGUCCGAGCCCAUCCUGAAAGACCUGGCUGCCAACCGUAGGCUCUCCAAUGAAUUCUUCACCGACGUGCUGUACAUGUUCAUCCAACGUGCCAUUAAGAAUCUGCUGGAGAACUUCUUGGGUCUGCCGACCACCCCACCAGGUAGAGACAUUAUGUGGAAUGACAAUUUCAACUGGAUGUAUAGGGACGGCUGGGGGAACACCCCCACAUCCAGCGAGGAGGAGUUGUGGGACAGCGACUCCACCUGGUCAAGUGGGCUUGGGGAGGAGGAGUUGGCAGAGUCCCGUGGGAGGUGGGCCGCUCUGUUGGAGAAGGGCAGACUCCAGACCCUCCAGUCCUCCGGCUCCCUCUCCCUCUCCGAUGACAACAAGGAGGCACUAGGGGCCGUCUGCCAGGUCCUGACCUCCAGGGUGGGAGACAUCCUGAACAGUACCUGCAACAACGAUUACAAGGCCAGGCUCAUCAUCCAGAAAGGAUUGGAUUCCGGUGCCAGGGAAAGGUUCCCUGACUCUCAAUGUCCCUCUUCACCCGAAGAAGAGGAGGUAGUAGUGAGUGCCAUGACUGUCUCAUACCCUAAACCCUCCACCUCAACCCAGGCAGCAUGGGCAGCUCCUGCCCAGACUCUGGAUGUUUUUCUGCCCAGACCCUGCCUGGAUGAAGAAGAGGUAGUGCCCAGCACCUCCAUGAAGGACAACUCUGUGACGACCACCCAUGCAGCACGGGCAGCUCCUUCCCAGACCCUGGAAGAAGAGGUGGGAGAAGCUGAGGUGUCCGACGUGAGUGACAGCUCCCUGAUGCCCACCAAGGCCCUUGAGAAGAUUCCCUCCCUCCUACCAGGCAAGAAUCUUAUUGAAGAGGACAUCCUCAUUUGCAGCACUCCCUGGGCCACCGUCAUAAGCCCCCAGACCCUGAAGUUUAUCCUCCACGGCAUCAUGUGCCGACUGGAGGCCUCAGAGUCCCCCCAGACAAGGAGGGCCAAUGACCCCUUCAGGCUGAUGAAGGAUCUCUUUCUGGAGGUCCGGCAUGCCCUUAAGUAUGCUAACAUCUCUGUCGUCUUUGGCCUGGAGGAGAGCAUCCAAUUCAUUGGGGAGGAUGCGGUGAAGGCCAUCGUGAAGACUGCAGCUCAAAGAUUGUCCCUGCGUUCGGACUCCAACCGGGCUCAACUGCGUGCCGCACGCUCUGGUGGCGAGGGAGCCAUCAGGUGCAUGGCGGACACCAUCACACAAGUCAUAGAUGACUAUUCCGAGGACUGGAGUUCCGACUGCCAUUUUGGAGCCAGGAGGAGCCGUGCUAGUGGGAGGUCACACUCCUCAACGUCCUCAAGGAGUGAUAUCACACUCACCGAGGAGCUCCUGGCCCGGAGGGAAACCCUUGAAGAGGACCUAGAGGAGAUGGCUGAUGACAGCACUGGUUUGGAGAAGACCAUUGUAAGCUCAGCCAUCUCUGAGAAGUCCCAGGAGAAGGAGAAGCAGAAGGAGAAGGAAGAGGCUAUUAAGGAAGAAGUGAGGAAGUCAGGAAAGAAGAAGCGAGGUAAUAACAAGGACCAGAAGAAGAACAAGGUGUCUCCUCUUGGCAAUGAUAGUACUAUGGCUGCAGAUGAGCCGAAGAAAAAACAGGCUCUCUUCCCGCGGAUCACAGCUGCCCUGGCAAAACUAUUUUGCUUCCCCUGCAAAAAAAGAUGCAAAAAGUAACUAUGCAGAGACGGGUUUUGGAAACCCUGAUGCCACCUCCCCCAACCCACUUUCUAAAAAAACAUCAGAGCCAUCAGAAGAGGGAGACAACCCCGCUACUCACAACCCAUUUUAUUACCCCCCCAUUUUAACUUAAUAAACACAACUUGCAGCUAUUUUGAUCUUCUUUUUUACUUUUUUUUACAGACCCACCUGCAUGCUAUAGAUUCUUAAGGUCAAUUUGCUGUGUACUGUCUACAGUAUCAUUGUAAUGAGUAUGUUCACUGUGCCAGUCAUUAUUUUUAUGUGUACCUUUAUUUAACUAGGCAAGUCAGUUUAGAACAAAUUCUUAUUUUCAAUGAUGACCUAGGAACAUUGGGUUAACUGCCUUGUUCAGGGGCAGAACGACAGAUUUUUUAGGCUACCUGUCGCUAUAUAGGUAUAGGCUAAAUGCCCUAACCUAAUUGCAAUUUACAUAAUAAGAGUCACAUUUGAAUAAUUCCCGCAUUUUAUCUUUCUUGAGAGGGAAUACAUCUCUAAUACACUAUGCUCAAUACCAUACAGUAAGCACACCACUGUAUGCCGAUGACACCUGCAAGCCCCGCCUCCCCGCAGAAUAAAGAAUAGACAUGAGUGGAUAAUUGCGGUGUCACUACAAAGGAUACCUUAAUUAAGCCAAUUCAUUGGCUUUAGACAUGUCAAUCAUGUCUGUGUUGUAAUCUGAUUGGUGUGUCUGUACCACCUCAAGGCAAAAGGUGUAGAAACUCUGAAGCACUCCAUUCUGUUUAUGAUUUCUACUUAUGAUUGACGCUGCUGUUUAAAGCAAUUUUUAUGUCUGCCUUAUUUGUAUUAUUACAUAGUUGGGGAGGACAGGGGAGAAAGGGUGGACAGCGCCCCGUCUAGUAGUUGUAGCUGGUUAUAGGUCUUCUUGAGGAAGCGCCGACAGACGGACAGCUGUGCGAGUUCGCAUUUUCUAAUAAAACAGCAGCACGAGCGAUGGCUUCGGCGUAGCAUUUCGUACUGUAUUUUUAAUAAAGCGGUGAAGUCGACAUUGUGAAGGUUUUAUUCUGUGCUAGUUUCGUGGUGUCCGUGUGUUGGCAUGACAUAGCAGCUACGAGCAAGAGCCGAUUCGAUUAUGGGAACAUUCAGGUUUGAGGAACCCUGAUCCGAUUGGCUCCGGCACCGCCCUACCAGGUGACCCUACAGCGGGGGAGACAGGUAAGGAGACCCAGCCACAGCCUCCCCUGUCCAACAGUGCGUUGCACUGUGCCCACCACCACAACCAU